AUGCAGGGUGUACACAGAUUGGAAGAACCGAAGAAGCAAAUUACAGAUACGAACCACAGCUUUGAGACCAGGACUCAGCCCAAGAAAACAGCAAGAAGAAAAGAAAAAAGCAUCCUGACCCAGCUUUACCCCUGUCCUAUCACUGGUGUCGCCACCAUUGUCCUCACAACACAGGCAACAAGAGGAUAUGACACUAGGAGCCAGUUUAAGCACCCAGGUCUGCUAAUUAUCCAUUUACUGCACAGACACAUACUGAGAGCCCUAAUCUACGUCAGACACUCUGCUAGUCACUGGUACAUUGUGAACAGCACACAUCAACCAGGCUCUCAUAUUCUGGUGCAUUGAAACACACACACACACAACAAUAAGCACAGACAAACUUCAGUGACUGCCAAGAAACCAUUUUGUGAUAGGAAAUAUGAGAAACUUCCACAGGCAGGUGUUUAGGAAGGUCCGUGCAGAUAGGGUAUUGAUGCUGAGAUCCAAAGGGUGAAUUCCUUCUUUGGCCAAACUUUUGCCUUAAUCCUGCCUUUUUCUUGCUCAUAGAAAGAGAACAUCAUGACUACGUGGGUGAAGAGUGGGAUGGAAGAGUGGGAUGGAACAAGCGUGGGGAAAACGGCUCAGAGAGAGGCUGGAGAAGCAGAUGGCGCCCUGACUGUGUGAGGCUUCGUGGCCCAGCUGUGCCUUCCAGGGUGCAGUCUGGGAAGGAGAAUCACUGAAGUCUUACAGAAAUAAGGAAUUUAUUAACAGGAUUCUUUGCACUCAUGUUGGAGGCACUGAAAGGUGGACAUCUGGAAGAUGGGAAUUAAAAAGUCAGAAAAACAGUGACCAAAGCACCAGUGAGGUGGAUAAGUCAGAGUUUCCAGAGAUCUGACCCACGUGUCAGGCUCUGAAGAUGGAGCCGUGAAGAGAGCGUUCAGAAGCCUGGAGACCGCCCUCUGGGCAGCAGUGGCAUUUGUGUAACUGCUGCCCAGAGACUCACAGCCAAGACCCCCAGUUAGGAGCAGCAGUUGGAAUGUGAGUUGGGUGCAUUUUUUCUCCAGCUUCCGUAUCCUUUCUAUAUUUCAUUAUUACUAACGGAGUCCCUAAGUCUGUCUUUUCUUUGUAGACAACUUGAAGUAUUACAUGCUCCCCUUAGCUAUUUAAGCUUCUCUCUUCAGAGAUUUAGGGACUAGGAAACUGGAUACAGGGCAGAGUUUGCAGACUUAUUAGAUGGUAAUCCAGGGCAGAUUACCUCCCUGAGACAGAAUAUGAAAGGAUAGGUCCAUCUUUUUAUCAUAUAAUUGGUAAUGGAGGUUAAGUUAGAUAAUGUAUUAAAAUCAAACAGCUAAUAUGCAAAGUGUUUUAUUCACAGGAAGUGUGCAGUGAAGGUCAAUUCACCUGUUCUCUUCCUGUGCUGUGCUACCUGGGCUAACACUGACAGAACUUUAGGAUUAGUCAUUGCCCUGUGGACAUCAUUGGUUCCUGCUUCUCUUUGUUGUACACCAUCAACAAUGCAGCCAUUGUUAAUUGUCUAAACAGGGUGAACUAACUCUUUCAUUUGUCACCCUUCUCUACGACUGCAACAUUAUAGUUAACUGUAAACAGGCACUGUGAUAAUAUGGCAAUAAUGGUACCUGACUCAAGUUCCUGGUAAGGACUGAAUGAGAUAGUGUAUAGAACACAGCGCAGCAUGGCGUCAGGAUUCAGUGAGUGUUAUCUAUGAUUAUUGCAAACAUUACCACCAUGUAUGCUCUUAUCUCAAAGGCUUUCAGUCAAGUCCCCUGUGGUGCAGGUAGGGGAACCCAGCAAAAUACUGGACAUUAAAGUGCCCCUCUUCUUACACCAUGGGUCAGAUCAUGAGAUAAAGAAAAGAGUCUCAGUCAUCUUCUUUGGCCCACCAGGAGACCACAGAGUGGACUUUGUUCUGUUGCUCUCUGAUUUGAAAUUCUGGAUCCUGUUCCUAGGGCAAUAACCAAUUUCAAAGUCUGUUAAUGCCUUUUUCCAGAAGCCCACAUGUGUUUACAUAAAAAGCCCAAAAAUGUUAACUGGAGGGACAUUAUCCCUUUCUGGGAUCUUCUAACAUAUUUAGAAAUGUUUUUCUAAAUUCUCAUGUCCUGUUUCAAUAAGAAAAAUAUAAUAUCCAAUAUUUAUUGGGCAUUUACAAUGUGCUUGACAGUAUGUUGAGUUAAUUUGAUUCAUUAUCUACUUAGUUUUACAUUGACCCAUGAGGUGGAUGCUGUAUGUCAGUUUUAUAAAGGGUGAGAUUGAAAUGUUUGUUUGUAAAUUUGUUCUACUGCUGGAUUCUUGGUCAUCUGAGUAACCCAGAACACUUCUUGCUACACAGUAGUACAUACAAAUAGAAAUGAUGCAUAAAAUAUAAUAAAUUAGAAAGAAAAAUACA
rnacentral:lncRNA from 1 species